GAUGAACGCUAGCUACAGGCUUAACACAUGCAAGUCGAGGGGAAACGGCAUCGAAAGCUUGCUUUUGAUGGGCGUCGACCGGCGCACGGGUGAGUAACGCGUUUCCAACCUGCCCAUCACUUGGGAAUAACCUUGCGAAAGUAAGACUAAUGCCCAAUGACAUCCCACGAAGGCAUCCGAAUGGGAUUAAAGAUUUAUCGGUGAUGGAUGGGGAUGCGUCUGAUUAGCUUGUUGGCGGGGUGACGGCCCACCAAGGCAACGAUCAGUAGGGGUUCUGAGAGGAAGGUCCCCCACAUUGGAACUGAGACACGGUCCAAACUCCUACGGGAGGCAGCAGUGAGGAAUAUUGGUCAAUGGGCGAGAGCCUGAACCAGCCAAGUAGCGUGCAGGAUGACGGCCCUAUGGGUUGUAAACUGCUUUUAUAAGGGAAUAAAGUGGGUCACGUGUGACUUUUUGCAUGUACCUUAUGAAUAAGGACCGGCUAAUUCCGUG
rnacentral:rRNA from 1 species